rnacentral:rRNA from 1 species
UACGAAGGGUGCAAGCGUUACUCGGAAUUACUGGGCGUAAAGCGUGCGUAGGUGGUUCGUUAAGUCUGAUGUGAAAGCCCUGGGCUCAACCUGGGAAUGGCAUUGGAAACUGGCGACCUAGAGUGCGGUAGAGGGCAGUGGAAUUCCCGGUGUAGCAGUGAAAUGCGUAGAGAUCGGGAGGAACAUCUGUGGCGAAGGCGGCGCACUGGACCACAACUGACGCUGAGGCGCGAAAGCUAGGGGAGCAAACAGG